UACAGAGGGGGCAAGCGUUGUUCGGAAUUACUGGGCGUAAAGGGCGCGUAGGCGGCCUGUUAAGUCGAACGUGAAAUCCCCGAGCUCAACCCGGGAACUGCGUCCGAUACUGGCAGGCUUGAAUCCGGGAGAGGGAUGCGGAAUUCCAGGUGUAGCGGUGAAAUGCGUAGAUAUCUGGAGGAACACCGGUGGCGAAGGCGGCAUCCUGGACCGGUAUUGACGCUGAGGCGCGAAAGCCAGGGGAGCAAACGGG
rnacentral:rRNA from 1 species